GUGUUAGAAUGAAGCCAGAGAGCUGUACAACAUAUCCCAUCUUCAAUAAUUUGCAGUGAUGUACAGAAGUUUGGCUCUACAGGUCAAAACUGCUCCUCAUCAUCAGCCAGAAGAAGCUGUUAGGUGAUUUUUAUGCUCUGGAUAGAAGCCCCCUUGCAAAAAAAAGGGUUUUGGAAACACACUGAAAAUCCUUUAAACUUUUAGACAAAACAGGCAUAGAGCUGGGAGAACAAAACUAUGCAAAACAACACACUGACUCCUAAUAGCUGACAUCUUAUUAUGUUCUGUAAAGUUCUAUAAAGGAGUUUACCAGGACUCACCAUGCCCUGAACAGUCCAUGUGGCUGCAGAGACACAGAGCAGUCACAGAAACAACUCAAUGAUCUGAAGUUGGUGCAUUUAUGUCCUUUAACUAAAACAAAGCACUGCUCAUUGUCUACUGAGGACAGUGCAUGACUGCUGGUGGUUCCUCACUUCCUGUGACAUCCAGAGAAGAACGUGAAGGUUUUUCAUCAAACUGAUUUCUACAUAAAUGGAAGCUGUCUCCCAGUCCUGCUGAAUUGCUGUUGCACAUUCGGUAAUUUCAGGAAUUGUUUGUAUGCUUAAUUUUUGGCUCCUAGUUUUGGAAAACUUGACGAAGGAAUGGCUUGCUGGAAUGGCGUCCAACCUGGAUUUUAUACAAGUAUACUGGUUUCAGCAGUCACAUUUUUCCAAUACACAUGAGCUAGCUGUUAACAUGAAGGAGGGAGACAAAUUACUUAUCACAGAAAAAUGAGCGCAAGUAGGCAGCAGAAAUGCCAGCUACUAUAUUUAGCUUAUAAUACUAAUACUGGAACGUCAUAGUUGUGCCGUCUUCCUUAAUGACAGCCCUGUGAGAUUCUAUCUAGAUUUUAUGAUCUUAUAUGGAAAGUAAUUCAGCUAUUUGUGGAGCUAAGCAGUGUACUAUGUACAAACAGUGAGGCUACUUGCGUCUGUUCUCUGUGUUAUCAGCACCAUUAAAAAGCCACAUCAGUUGAGAGGAUGUUCUGCUUUAUAGUUUCUGCUUUUAUUGUUUCUAAGGAAACCACUUAUCCAUACUCACUGUGCCUGCCACAUCCUCAAUUUACACACACUCGGGGCAAGGAAAAUAGUACAUCAGA